AAUGUGAACACAUCGCAUUUCAUAGCUGGGCAUGAAGACUCUGACAGAGGUUAGACAAUGAUGUGAAGGACAAAGACAGAUUUUGAAGGGAGAGAAAAAAAGAAAGAGAGAGAGAAGAAAAGAACAACAACAACAACAAAAAUCUCCAGUGCAUUGUCUGUGGCUGCCCCAAGGAUGAUGAGCAAACGGCCUGCCCUGGGGUUAUUCUUCCCCGACAGUGAAGGCACUUUGAACACUGAGUCCUGCAGGGGUCCCUGUUUGUUACUGAUUUUGAGUAACAGGACUGAUGCUGGUCCUCUAGGACCAGUGGCCAGGAGCACUUCCUAAGGCAUGGAGGAAGAUGAGCUUCGGGAAGCUGCCAGGAUGCAAGAGCCUGUUUUUGCCAUUACAUGAAGCAGAAGUUAGAAAGAGCUUGCUGUGGUGUAUUUGGAUGGGGGUCUUCUCAUGGAAAUUUCCAGCUCCAGCUUCCAGAGGGUGAGGACCUUCAGGAAGAUGACAGUGGGUCCCGAUGAGAGAAAAACAACAGACCUUAAAUAUUGCAUUUCUUUAUGUCAUUAUCUCACUAGGGUAAUGUGCCAAGACCUAUACGAGGUGUUCAAAAUAAAGAUUGCUACAAAGGAUAGCUGGACUCUUUGUACCCUCAAGGACACCUCCUCCUGAGACUCAGCUCAGCCUCUAAAGGCUAAAUAGGUGUUUUCAAUUCAUUUUUUCAAUAAAACCUCACA